rnacentral:rRNA from 1 species
CGCGGACGGGUGAGUAACGCGUGGGUAACCUGCCUCAUACAGGGGAUAACAGUUAGAAAUGACUGCUAAUACCGCAUAAGCACACAGAACCGCAUGGUUCGGGUGAAAAGCCGAGACGGUAUGAGAUGGACCCGCGUCUGAUUAGCUAGUUGGAGGGGUAACGGCCCACCAAGGCAACGAUCAGUAGCCGACCUGAGAGGGUGACCGGCCACAUUGGGACUGAGACACGGCCCAAACUCCUACGGGAGGCAGCAG